CGCCAUUUGUAGCUCCACCUGACAAAAGUUGUGACUAUAUGCAGUUUAACAUCUCAAGAAACUUGAAAAAAGAAAAACUUUCCAGUGGCAUGGAGGUCUGUGCCUGAAGGCAGGGUCCAGUGAAUGUGUCACAUCAGAGAAUUGAUACUGGAUUACAAACAAAGUGAUUGGAAUCAUAUUAAGAUACAAAAUAGAAUUUGUGCCAGUCUGCUUAACACAGAAUGGCUACAAAUGGAACUGGAGAACGUCUUGAUGAGGGUGAUAGGCUACUUGAGCAACAGGAGAUCAUAGGGCAGCUUACAGAGCAUUCUUUUGUGUCGCAAAAAGAGUUUGAUGAAAAUUAUGAAUUUCAAAGUCAUCCACCUCCAAAGUUAAAACAGAUUGUGACGAAUAAAUUAGGGAAAUGCAAGUGUUCAGGGACCUGUGUGAAGAGAUUUAUAUAUUCGAUAUUCCCUUUCAUAAACAUCAUGAAGAACUACAACAUUAGAGAGGAUAUAGGGGGUGAUAUUGUAGCGGGAUUGACCAUUGGGAUCAUGCACAUUCCUCAGGGUAUGGCUUAUGCAAUGUUAGCUACACUGAAACCAGUUCAUGGUCUGUACAUGUCGUUCUUUCCAGUGUUGCUCUAUUUCUUCUUUGGAUCCAGUAGACAUAUCUCUGUUGGUGCUAAUUCUGUUGCUUGUUUGAUGUUGGGCUCAGCUGUUUCUAAGGGGAUAGACAGUCUGUCUGGAUCAAUGGAAAAAUCUGGACUGGUUUCUUUGGUAUUAGGAAAUCAAACAGUGAACCAGACAGGAAGUUCUGAAGGGAACCAUUCUGAGUACCAGACCACAGCUUCCUCUGUUGCAGACGACAGUUCUGCCAUAUCAGAUGAGGAACUGGAGCUUAGAUUGCAGUUUGCUAUGUCAGUUACAUUUUUGUCUGGAGCAAUUCAGUUGCUGAUGUCUAUAUUUAGACUAGGGUUUAUCACAGAGUACCUGUCAGAUUCCCUGAUCAGUGGGUUCAUGACUGGCGUAUCUUGUCAUAUCUUUACAAGUCAAGUGAAACAUUUGUUUGGUGUGAAACAUGGAAGAUAUACUGGCGUCUUCAAACUUAUCUAUACAUACCGUGAUAUUUUCAAGAAUAUUGGGACGGCCAACUAUGUAACUAUUUUAUUGGCUGUUGCAUGUAUAGCCUCUUUGUACUGCACAUCAAGAUUUAUCAACCAGAAUCCCAAACUGAAGCCGAAAAUGUUCAUGCCAGUACCAAUUGAAUUAAUUGUGGUUGUACUAGCUACAGUAAUCUCAUAUGCAAUUAAAUUAGAGGAAAACUUUGAUGUAGCUGUUGUGUCAGACAUUCCUACAGGUUUACCUGUUCCCAAUGCAAGAGGUGUCAGUCGUAUUUCAGGAUUAAUAAUUCCCGAUGCUUUUGCACUGGGUAUUGUGAUAUUUUCCAUCUAUAUCUCCAUGGGGAAAAUGUUGGCUAAAAAACAUGACUAUGAAGUAGAUGCUAACCAGGAAUUGAUGGCCUUUGGUGUAUCUACAAUCAUUUCUUCCUUCUUUACCGCUGCAGCACCAUCUGUUGCCCUGUCAAGGAGUAUUGUACAAGAAAGAGUAGGUGGUAAAACACAGGUUGCAGGUUUGGUUUCCUGUUGUCUUCUCCUGGUGGUGCUACUGGCUGUUGGGCCAUAUUUCAGGACAACACCAAACUGUGUGUUGUCCUCCAUCGUUGUCGUUGCUAUAAGAGGAAUGUUUCUACAAGUUUUAGACCUCAAGAAGAUCUGGAAUGUAUCGUCAGUAGAUUUUUUUGUAUGGGUAGUGGCAUGUAUGGCUACAGUGCUGAUGGAUGUGGAUUUGGGUCUAGGAACUGCUGUAGCUUUUAAUAUCAUUGUUGCCAUGUGUAGAAUACAGAGGCCGAAUGCAUGUUUACUCGGACACGUUCCUGGGACGGAUAUAUACAUAGACAUGAAUUUCUAUCAGAAGGCAAGAGAGAUACCAGCUGUUAAAAUAUUUAGGUUUGAACAGUCGUUAUUUUUCCUAAACAAGGAACACUUCCGCACACUUCUUUACAAGAAUACAGUAAACCCUAAUACACUGAAAAUUGCUCAAGACAAAAGAGAGAAGAAGCUUAGAAAACUGCAAAAGAAAGAACCAAUUAUUGAUGGAGAAGUCCGUAAUGAAUCAGCACCAGAAAGAGACCAUCUAGAUAUAGAACUUAAUAUUUUACCAGACACUGAAGCUGAUAUUGCAGAUGUUACACAAAGAAAUACUUUACAUGUGGACUUUCACACUAUAAUCUUUGACUGUUCAUUGUGGAGUUUUGUAGAUUCCAUGGGUGUUAAAGUUCUUAAAGCUGUGAUUGGAGAAUACAAAGCUGUAGGCAUUAAAGUUUUAUUUGCAAAUUGUAAAGUUGGUGUGAGAGAAAUGUUUGAAAAGACCAAGUUUUAUGACACUUUGGAUCAGUCCAAUAUAUAUGUGUCUGUACAUGAUGCAGUAAUACACUCUGUGCAGGCUUACAGUUUUAAGAAUGGCGCAAAUAUAUCAAAUAAAGAAGAUUUUCCAAAUGAAGUUUGAUUGUAAGGGAGGCUAGGAAGAUAUCUCAGGUCUGCUGCAUGAGAACCAGGGUGUACAUCAAAGCAAACAUGGCGUUACAAACUUGAUUUAUCUGUGUGGGAAGUAAAAAUUGUAGGGUAAAACUAUAUCCCACCUAAUACUAAUGUGUUCUUGCUAUAAUAUUUGGGUUUUAAAUGAAGGUUGUGCUUGGCAUACUUGGCAGAAGGGAAAUUGACGGAAAGACAUGCAAGUGUUUUACAUGUAUGUAUGUUAUACUAAGCUCCUAUCCAUGUGUUUCAAAUAUCUGCAUGUUUUACUAGGUAUACCAAGUUACUGUCCAUGAGUUUCAAAUAUUUGCAUGUUCUACUAGGUAUACCAAGUUACUGUCCAUGUGUUUCAAAUAUCUGCAUGUUUUACUAGGUAUACCAAGUUACUGUCCAUGAGUUUCAAAUAUUUGCAUGUUCUACUAGGUAUACCAAGUUACUGUCCAUGUGUUUCAAAUAUCUGCAUGUUUUACUAGGUAUACCAAGUUACUGUCCAUGAGUUUCAAAUAUUUGCAUGUUCUACUAGGUAUACCAAGUUACUGUCCAUGUGUUUCAAAUAUCUGCAUGUUUUACUAGGUGUACCAAGUUACUGUCCAUGUGUUUCAAAUGUGUGCAUGUUCUAACUAUAAUUAUUAUCCAUGACAUUAUCAGGGUAUUAUAUAGACAGUAGGCUAUAGUUCAUAUUUAGCAUGAUAUGUCCUGUUUUAAGCACAUAACCAGUGCUAGUGUUUUAUCUGUGAUUUUUACUUGACAUUGAAGAAAAUGCCAGUGAUAGAGCAUUGCCCAAACGACAGAUUUACAUGACAUAUUAUCCAUUAUAAUGUAAACUUAUUUCAUGACUUAAAUUUCUGCUUUUGUAGAAAUAUUUUACUUGAGAUAUUAUUAGUUUUAGAUUAAAUAUUUUACAUGAAUUAAUAUCAAUUUUAAACUGUAAUUUAGCAUUUUGCAGGACAGAUCACAUGUCAGUCCUUUCAUUUUUGAAGGUAAAAACUCAGGUUUUAACUUGGAUGAGUUUUAUAUGACAUUAUGUGAAUGAUCUCAAUGGUAUUAUAAAAAAGUUUCACCUCUUUAUACAGGAGUUUGUUGAAUGAACAUGACAUUCCUCAUUUAAUUCUGUAUUUACAUUAAUAUAAAGUAAUAUAUUGUACACUUAAUGAAUUUAUUACCAGUUGACAGUCAAAAUUAAGGCUGAAAUCCAAAAAUACUCGAACCUCAAAAUAAAAAAAUAAAAAUCUCAAAAACCCAUAUUCUACUAUUCAUAAAUUGACUAAACUUCAGUUUUAAAGAACGAUCAUUUUUAGCCAAAAUCUGGAGGUCAGUGCCUUUAAAGGGUCUUAAACAAAUGGACGUUUAGAAAAAAAAAUCACACUGAAAUGGUUCUUUUUAAGUAAUGUCUCAUAUAUGUAAGGUUUCGCUUUUUAUAUACUCUUUAUCUCGUAUGACAUUAUGUGCAGGUCAACAGUAAACAGAAAUUAUAGAUAGACAUUAUUAUUUUCGGGUGGCGGAUUGUAGCUGAUAUCUUGACUUGGUCUACAUUUGCAUGUUUAACAUAGCAGCAUUAGACAUUUUUUAUGUUUUAAGCUCACCGGGACCCAGUUUUUCAAAAUUUCAACAGGUGAUUAACGUAACGGUCGAUUAACUUUUACUGUUAUAUUUUAAUAUUUUACAAGACUUAAGUAAAACGAAUGUUAAGGAUUAUGAACACUAAAAAUUCUUUUCAGUAACAUCAAAACAUUAGACUACUGUUUCCCACCAAGACUAAUAUUUUGAAUAAAAUUUUAAGCGGUGAUUUAACAGACAUUCGAAGUAUCUUGGAAAUUGGCUCGGAGCACGUCGUGCUCGGAUCGAGCUCUUAUGACCACUCGCAGUCCGUCGUACGUCCAUUUCUGAAAACUGUGACACUUGGACUGGAUAUUCAUUGAAUGGUAUUUUGUAAAGUUGUUCAAACGGUUCUGUGUUAAGUUGCACAUUAGGACCCUCUGUGGCUGAGUUACGGUCGAUGGCUUCAAACCACUUGCCCGGUGUGAAACCUCUGUUGGGGUUUAGAAUUCUUUCAUUUAUGAAACCCAUCCAUUUGGCUUACCGGGGGCACCUGGGAGUCUUCAUACAAAACUAUUUGUAAAAAAAAAGGUGAAUACUAGUAAAGGUGCUGAAACUAAAAAUAUUUUCAAGUACACAUGUAACAUCGCGGAAGUAUGGUUCAGUUUUGAAAUAAGUUCAUAGAAAUGUUUCUACGGUAACCCUCAGCUAAAAUUGAUCAAAUUAUUCGUUUUGUAAAAAAAACAUGGCCGCCGGAGGUUGUUUUGUUGGGUUUUAACGUCGCACCGACACAAUUAUAGGUCACGAUGGCGACUUUCCACCUUUGAUGGUUGAGGAAGA
rnacentral:misc_RNA from 1 species